GCGCCCUCAGCAGCAGCCCCCGCCGCUGCAGGAGAGGGACGAGCGACCGUCCGCCGUGGUCUUGGGCUCCCGACCGUGCCGCGCCGCCACCUCUCCGGACAAGAGCAGAGCGGCAAGCCUCCUACUCUUUCCACCGAUCAGAUCAAUGCGAUAAAUCAGAAUCUGAAGAAAAUGCAAGCUGCUAUGGACAAUGGAUUAGUUGUAUGUGGAACCAUUAGAUUUCUCCUUGAGGAAGGCAAGCUACGCAGUCCGUUUGUCCAGUGUGCGUGGAUGCUUGGUGUUACUAGCUUGCUUGGUUUCUUCUGCCGGACAAGUGAUGAGUCAGCGAAGGGAGGCUAAUCCGACCGUAAUUUGACCUGAAGGAGGGAGAGCCAUUUCGAGAAAUGCCUGAGGUAUGCUUCAAGGAUCUAGAUGCACCUGAAGAGUAUUUUUUUGUUUUGUUUUGAUGGUAUUAAUUUAGGGCACUUGUUAACCUGUUUAUGAAAAAGACUGCGUGUCUUCCCUUUUAGCAAGAGAGGAGGAGUCCCAUAGAACUCCUGGAACGAGUUGCUGUGGCACUGUUUGCAUAUCUAAUCUCAACUUAUGUUAUUGUCGAUCCAGGUUGUAUGAAUCUAAGUGUAUCUGAUGAAU